AUUGAACGCUGGCGGCAGGCCUAACACAUGCAAGUCGAGCGGAGCGGCGGACGGGGGAGUAAUGCCUAGGAAUCUGCAUGGUCGUGGGGGAUAACGUCCGGAAACGGGUGCUAAUACCGCAUACUAUCAGAUGAGCCUAGGUCGGAUUAGCUAGUUGGUGAGGUAACGGCAUACCAAGGCGACGAUCCGUAACUGGUCUGAGAGGAUGAUCAGUCACAUUGUAACUGAGACACGGUCCAGAGUCCUACGGGAGGCAGCAGUGGGGAAUAUUGGACAAUGGGCGAAAGCCUGAACCAGCCAUGCCGCGUGUGUGAAGAAGGUAUUCGGAUUGUAAAGCACUUUAAGUUGGGAGGCGUUACCAACAGAAUAAGCACCGGCUAACUUCGUGCCAGCAGCCGCGGUAAUUC
rnacentral:rRNA from 1 species